rnacentral:lncRNA from 12 species
GAUCAGCUUCUUUGUAUCUUUGAUGCUAGAAAAUGAAAAGCCAGACUGACUUUAUUUUAAUGCUAAAAAAAAGUAAAAAAAAAAAAAAUUAUUCAGAUAUAUUUAGGGAUUUUUUGCAUGCAAAUUGACCCUUUGCCAGGGAGAUGAUCCAAAGCUGUUAAUAAACCAAGACAGGAAGAGGAUUUAUGAGGAAAGGAGAAAGGAAAGAGAAAAACUAUGGACAGUCUGGAAACAGUGAAUCUUAGUUUACUUGUUUUGGGUAAACUGAUUUUCUGGGAGCUGGCCAAAGGUCAGAUGGUCCAGCUGACCUUGAGCAGGCUGACUGGGCAUGAAUACAAUCAUUUUAUAUCUUUGUGGGUGUAGGGAAAGCCUUUGAGAGCUAAAGUGAGGCACAUACAUAUGUAGGCAGGAUAUCUCUUCAGCAUUAGCAUCUCUGCCUUCCUUAGGCCACAACACACCAUGUUCUUCUUUGGAGUGAAUAAAGUGGAUUUCAGUAACCCUGCCACACAAAGCUGGAUUCAUGCUUUCAGUAAUCCCCUUGGUGCUUGUCACAUUCAUUCUUGCUCUGAGGCACUUCAAACACUGUUGAUUUCUUCUUCCAUGAAUCUGAAUGAAGAAUGGGACCACUCACUCGUGUCCUGGAGAAAGCAAGAUGGAGCUCCUCAUUUUACCAAACAACCUGCUUUCCGCCCCCCUUCUCACGGCCACAGCAAAUCAUACCAGUUUCUUCCUGAGUGUAGAAAACCUCUAACUUGGGCUUAGAGGUACAGCCUGCACUGUUUCCAGUUUCCCAAAGAAAUAUGCUGCUACAGUCCUGGAAAGAACAUAUUCUUCUUCUACUCCAUGCAAACUGGCAACUUUGUAUUCAAUUCAUUCAACCAAUGGUUAUUGAUGAUCAAUGUGUGACAGAACUAGGAGCAAACUAUUAGGAAUAAAAAGAAGGUAUCAGACA